GACUGCGGAAGGAUCAUG
rnacentral:rRNA from 1 species